UACGGAGGGUGCAAGCGUUAUCCGGAUUCACUGGGUUUAAAGGGUGCGUAGGUGGGAAAGUAAGUCAGUGGUGAAAUCUCCGUGCUUAACACGGAAACUGCCAUUGAUACUAUUUUUCUUGAAUUUUCUGGAGGUCAGCGGAAUAUGUCAUGUAGCGGUGAAAUGCUUAGAUAUGACAUAGAACACCAAUUGCGAAGGCAGCUGGCUACAGGGAUAUUGACACUGAGGCACGAAAGCGUGGGGAGCAAACAGG
rnacentral:rRNA from 1 species